GUUCCAUGGCCAAAAUAAAUAACAGGGUUCCAUAAGAUCAAAACUUCUAGCAACCAAAUUGUAGCUCGAGGAUACAAGUUUCAGACCAUGAGCUCAACAAAACAGCAUAAAUAAUAAUCGAGUUUCUUUCAGUCCUAGAAAAGAAAAGGUCCGAGGAAAAAGAAAGGAAAAAAUGAAACCAGCCAGCAUUAUUAAAAGCAUCCUUUCCGUCCAUAUUCAUGAGAUCCCCCCCCCCCCCCAAAAUGAAAGUAGAACAAAAGGUCAGUGUACCCAGUCAUCACUUCACUGUUAUAAUCUUGAUAACAGAUGCAGUUCCAACCCGGUGCAGAGCCACCACGGGAUCCCCAGUCCUGCAUAGUCCCUUCCCCUUGGCAUGUUGAAGGGAAAAAUCCAAAGCUUCUUCUGUUGU
rnacentral:lncRNA from 1 species